UGAGGAAUAUUGGUCAAUGGGCGAGAGCCUGAACCAGCCAAGUCGCGUGAGGGAAGACGGUCCUACGGAUUGUAAACCUCUUUUGUCGGGGAGCAAUAAAGCGUACGCGUACGCAGAUGCGAGUACCCGAAGAAAAAGCAUCGGCUAACUCCGUG
rnacentral:rRNA from 1 species